rnacentral:misc_RNA from 1 species
AAGUCGUAACAAGGUUUCCGUAGGUGAACCUGCGGAAGGAUCAUUACCAUAUCCAAAAACUUUACCAACCCACCGUGUGAACUGUUUUUUUUUCCGGAGGACGGCGGAUGCGAGGGGUGUUAUAUAAUUUUUUAUUGUAAUACCUGUUCAUGUUCGGUUGUUGUCGGAAAGAAAUUUUAAUUAUUUUCUCCUUGCCCUUUUCGGGGAAGGAGAAGAUAAUGUUGCUAAACCCCUUUGUUAAACCGACCAUUGAAAACCUGAUUCUUUUUUUCUUGGAGCAAUUCGAGGAAAAAACCAAAAAACAAACCAAUAGACAACUUACAACGGUGGAUCUCUUGGCUCGU